UGCGAACGUUUGCGGCGGGCUUAACACAUGCAAGUCGAACGAGAAUCCCUUCGGGGAGGAAAGUGGCGCACGGGUGCGUAACACGUGGAUAACCAACCCAUUGGUUUGGGACAACACCGGGAAACUGGUGCUAAUACCAGAUGUGUCGCAGCUGUCUUCAGGCGGUUGCGAGAAAGGCCCGCAAGGGUCGCCAACGGACGGGUCCGCGUCCCAUCAGCUAGUUGGUGAGGUAAUGGCUCACCAAGGCAAAGACGGGUAGCUGGUCUGAGAGGAUGAUCAGCCACACUGGAACUGAGACACGGUCUAGACUCCUACGGGAGGCAGCAGUAGGGAAUAUUGGACAAUGGACGCAAGUCUGAUCCAGCCAUCCCGCGUGCAGGAUUAAGGCCCUCUGGGUUGUAAACUGCUUUUAUUAGAGAAGAAAACCUCAGAUUUAUCUGAACUUGACGGUAUCUAAUGAAUAAGCACCGGCUAACUCCGUGCCAGCAGCCGCGGU
rnacentral:rRNA from 1 species